rnacentral:lncRNA from 10 species
ACGGAGUCUUGCUCUGUCGCCCAGGCUGGAGUGCAGUGGCGCGAUCUGGGCUCACUGCAAGCUCCGCCUGCCAGGUUCACGCCAUUCUCCUGCCUCAGCCUCCCGAGUAGCUGGGACUACAGGAGCCUGCCACCACGCCCGGCUAAUUUUGUUUUUGUAUUUUUAGUAGAGACGGGGUUUCACCCUGUUAGCCAGGAUGGUCUUGAUCUCCUGACCUCGUCAUCCGCCCGCCUUGGCCUCCCAAAGUGCUGGGAUUACAGGCGUGAGCCACCGCGCCCGGCCGGGGUUUUCCAUUUGAUUUAGUUCUAGGAAAUCAGUGUGAAUCUGCCUUAGGUUCCCUGCCUUCAGACAGUAUUCUCCUGCGGCAACACUUUGCUGACAACUAUUCUUGAAAAUACGGGGAUUGGUAUUUUCAUGGUGGUUUUCAUGGGGCUGAGAACUUAGAAGAUAAUGACUGCUUCCUUCAUCUGGGGAUGGGAUUUAAAUGUAAUGGAGCACUCACUGUUUUCUUGAGAAGGUGGGAGAUACUAGCUUCCUUAGAAAGAAAAAGGGGUGCGAGAGGCAGGAUUUUAGGAACUCAAAUCUAGGUGGGAACCGGGGAGCAUGAUUUCUUUUUUCUUUCCCAAUCCCAAUCUUCUAUUUUGUAAUUCUGUAAUUUUAAAAACUUGACUGUACUCUUGUGGGGGUUUUUUCCUCCCUCAAUAUUUUUGUCAAGUGCAACCAGGAAAGGGCUUGGGGGUGCUGCACCUCAGUCCAGUAGAGGUUUCAUAGUAAAGCAUCUUAACUUGGAGGAAGAGGAGGAAUAAGACAACUGUGCAUCUCUUAAGGAUCCAGAACAUGGACCUGCACCUAGUGGAUUCAUGAUUUAUUUGAAACUCUGGUGUGGUGGUUAAUACUAAGUGUCAACUUGAUUGGAUUGAAGCAUGCCAAACUAUUGAUCCUGGGUGUGUCUGUGAGAGUGUCACCAAAGGAGAUUAACAUUUAAGUCAGGGGGCUGGGGAAGACAGACCCACCCUUAAUCUGGUGGUCACAAUCUAGUCAGCUGCCAGCUGCUAUAAAGCAGGCAGAAAAUCCUGAAAAGGCGAGACUGGCCUAGCCUCCCAGCCUCCAUCUUUCUCCUGUGCUGGGUGCUUCCUGCUGUCAAACAUCAGACUCCAAGUUCUUCAGUUUUGAGCUUUGGAUUGGCUCUCCUUGCUCCUCAAGCUUGCAGUCAGCCUAUUGUGGGACCUUCUGAUCGUCUAAGUUAAUACUUAAUAAAAUCCUGUAUAUACACA